rnacentral:rRNA from 1 species
GUUGGGGAUAUUGCGCAAUGGGCGAAAGCCUGACGCAGCGACGCCGCGUGAGGGAAGAAGGCCUUCGGGUUGUAAACCUCUGUCGAGUGGGAAGAAGAUAUGACAGUACCACUGGAGGAAGCCCCGGCUAACUACGUGCCAGCAGCCGCGGUAAUACGUAGGGGGCGAGCGUUGUCCGGAAUUACUGGGCGUAAAGGGCGUGUAGGCGGUAAAGCAAGUCAGAUGUGAAACCCCUGGGCUCAACCGAGGGCAUGCAUCUGAAACUGCUGUACUUGAGUGCAGGAGAGGGAAGCGGAAUUCCUGGUGUAGCGGUGAAAUGCGUAGAUAUCAGGAAGAACACCGGUGGCGAAGGCGGCUUUCUGGCCUGUAACUGACGCUGAGGCGCGAAAGCGUGGGGAGCAAACAGGAUUAGAUACCCUAGUAGUCC